UGCAACACGCAACAUUAAGAAGCAAAAAUAGAGUAAAAAUAAAAAGAAAAAAGCUUGUAAAAGGCUAUAUAAAAGCCAUUAAAAAACCGAAAAUGGGGGGGGGGCUUCCUUUUCUUUUGUAAUAUUUUCACAAAAAUACAACGAAUUAAUAAGAAAAUCAAAAAAGCAAAAAAAAAGGUUGAUCUCAGUCAUUUUCUUUUCGGUUUUUGCGUUUCUUUUUUGUUUAUUUUCUUCCUUUUUUUGUUUAUUUUCUAUAACUUUUUAAACAAAACGAAAAAGAAAAGAAAAGGGAUACUUACCUGUCUCGAAAGCCCGUCGUCGGAGACCAUUUUCGGCGUUGGAAUCGGACUGAAAGGGGUACGAAAGACCCCUCCUUUUUCAUAUCUUUCGGGCUAGGAAGGCCUGGUUUUUGUGUGUGUUGUGAAUCGGGGCUAAAAGGCUUCUUUUGCGCAACGUCGGCCACCGUCCACGGUGGUGCUACGGCGGUGGCGCUAAAGCCGACAACCAUGGUCGGUUAGAGGCCUGAGAGAGAGAGCUUUGCUCUCUGUUUUUUCUAAAGAAAGGUGAAACUGAAAUUUUUUGAGGUUUUUUUUAUAUAUUUAUAAUAAGCUUGAAACGGCGCCGUUUAAGCCCCAUGACCCGCGUGUGAUCCGACCCGCUCCAGGGGAGAUCCGCGUGUUUUCAUAAAAUGGGCUAUUUAUGCAAUAGGUCCCUCCGCUUUCGCAAUUUGCUUCAAUGUAGUAUUUUUUUAUUUCGGCCUGUGGAUUUUGCUUCUAUUCCGAUUUGGUCCUUAGACCAAUUGCUGCCCAUGGUUGAAAUGCAGCGUUUCAGGACGGGGAAAUAUUUCCCCACAAGUCCCUCACGCUUUAAGCGUGUUUCACUUUGGUCCUGUAUUAUUCCUUUUAUUUAUUUCAUAUUUAAGCCCCGAAGUUCGUUUAAAGUUUUAAUUUAGUCCUUUUGUAUUUUGUUUGUUUUCUUAUUAAAUAAUAAAUUUGAUGUUAUACUGUUACCAUUAAUUAUUAUUGCUGUUAUUUGUUUAUUUAUAUCUUUAAAAUCUCAAAAUUUAUCAUAUAUAUAUAUAUAUAUGUAUAUACUUAUUUUUGUAUUUUUUAUAUUUUAUAAUUUGUAUCUAUAUAUCUAUAUACAUAUUUUUUAUAAAUAUAUACACAUACUUAUAUGUUUUUACAUUUUCAUAUAGUUUUAUAUACAUACAUAUUCUUACGUACACAUACAUAUAUUUUUUAUACUUUAAAAUUUUAACUUACGUACAUAUAUAUAUUUUAUUUUUUUUUAUUUUUUUAUUACUAUUAUUUCAUUUGGUGUUCAUUUACUUAUUUAUUUACAUGCUCAUUGUUAUUAUUAUUAUUUAUUUAAGUGCAUUAGUUUGUGUUUGCAUAUUUACUUUAUUUUGUGUAUACAUUGUUGAUUUCUUUUUAUUAUACAUUUAUCAUCUUAUUUAUUUAUCCUUUUUAUUUGCAUGCAUUAUUUUAUUUGCAUUAUCAUCAUUAUCAUUAUUUUACAUUCACUUUUUACUCGGAUUCGUCAAAAAUAGAAAUUUCAAAAUAAAUAAUACUCGAUAUUUAGGACCUUCGAGAGAAUCGAGCCAUAACGUAUUGGGUUCUGACUUUUUUUUCGUUGAAUUUAAAUAAUCGAUAUUACUCUUUUGAAAAUGAUAAAAAGCUCGUUAUCAAGAAUUCAAUAUGUUGUGUUCUAACGCAUUGGAUGUGACAUGUUGUUUUCUCGAGACGAGGAUUUUUCGAAAUAAAUACAAUAUUCAAUGUUUAAUAUUUUGAGAAAUUGUGCCCUAACGUAUUGGGUUGCGAUUUCUUCAUUUGAUUUAAACAAUUGAAUAUUCUUUUAAACUUUAUUACACGAAUCUUUUCAAACUCAAGUUUUAAAUGAUAUUGGGAAUUAAAAAAUUAUCGCGUUCUAACUUACUGGUCGUGAAUAAAUAAGCAUUUUUCAUUCGCGUAUCGGGAAUUUGAGACAUUGUAUUCUAACUUACUGGAUAUGAUUCUCUUUCUCGAAUAACGUGAAAUAUACCCAUUUUCCUGAAAAUUUUCAACGUUUUAAUACAAGGAUCGUAUUUUUUUUUAAAUUUCUUCCAAGUUAUCAAUUUUCGACAUCAAGACAUUAAUAAAUCAACUAGGUACCAAUUUUGGGCGUUACGAGGGUGCUAAUCCUUCCUCGUACGUAACCGACUCCUGAACUCGCUUUCUAAAUUUCGUGGACCAAAAUCGUUGUUUUAAUAAAAUUAAACCGUUUAUUAAAAACAACCAGUUUUCGAGGUGACCCAAUCACACCUCAUCAAAAAGGAUUGGUGGUGACUCCCAUUUUUGUUUUCAUUUUCCAAAACCCAAGUCGACCCCGUUUUUCAUUCAAAAAAUGGUGUCAACAGCUUGGCGACUCCACUGGGGACUUUAAAUAAAAGAGUCAAGCCACGAGUUGAUUAUUUCUUGUCUUUUUGUCGAAAGUUGAAAAUUUGAUUUAAAUAUACGAUCCUCUCAUUGCAUUUCAUUUGUUUUGAGUUAUAGUUUUUAUCAUGUUUUGUAUUUUAAAUUUUUAUAUCUUUCUGCAUUGCAUUUCAUGACCUUUGGUCACACCCUUUUAAGUGGGAGUGAGAAGCUACUCCUUCGUGAGGUUUUUACCUCCGUGCAGGAUAGUGGAUCGCUUUCGGGAUACAUCCGUAUCUAUGUCUUCGUGAGAUUUUUAUCUCCGUGCAGCCAUAGGGAAAUGUAUUCCCCUAAACCGAACUCGAUCUAUAUGAACCUAUAAUGGGUGAAAAUCGAGGAAUCUGCUAGUUCGGGUACCUGUGCUUUAGAACCAAACCACAUGUAGUGAACCUUAGGAGCCCACCCUAGGUAGAAUCACUUCGAGCCCCUAGUAUUCACCCGAAUAGGUGUUCUAUUUAUUCUUGCUUGCUUUUGUACUAACCUGUUUUCUUUUUGUUAUGAUUGCGUUGCAUUUUCAUCAUAAAAAGAGGUGUUGAUUCACGUUCGGUUGUUUAAUAGAGAGCUUGUCAUAAGGAAAUGGGUUUCUUGAUAAAGUGGAUAAUAAUACGGUUGUCCGAAUAUGACCCAAGAAAACGUGAUAGUUUAAUGGAGGAGUACACAACCAUUGCUCCGUUGCCCGAGGAUUCAAGAUGACGAAGAUUAUUCGAGAGCCACUGAACUUUCUUAAAGAGAAGCCAUGAGCAUCACGAGGAUAAGUGAGCAACGAGUCGCAGCUCGGAUCAAGCAAAAAGGAGAUAGAAGAGAUGUUCCUUUUGAAGAGUUUGUGAGAUUCAUCUUAACACGCGAAUGAAGAAAGGAAUCGUUGUCUUGGAAUAUAAGGGCAAAGCCGUAUAUAUAUAUUCGCUUUAUGUAAAGAGAUUUGUUUUCUAGUAAAGUUCAUCUAAUAGAAUUGAACCAAGAAUCAACAUCUCUUUUUUGCAUUCAUUUCAUGCAUUUGCAUUACAUAACAUCAUGUGCAUUAAAGACCAUUAAAAGAGACCCUAAUUGAGUAAAAAAUAUUUCAGCUAAUCUGGAAAAACCAACAUUCUUGCGAUACCCGAAUAGAAACUGAAGGAAUGGACCAAAGGUUGGAGAGAUUAGAGCGAAUGUAGAUACAGAUGCAGGAGCAAUUGACCGAAUUUCAACAGGAGAUGAGAGAUCAGAUGCUAGGAUUACAAAGAACUAUGAUAAGCCGAUUCAACCGAUUGUUAGCUGGAGAGUUAGAAAAAAGGAAGGAUCUGAUAGACCACUCUGAGGUUGAUAAUGAGGAUUUUGCUCCAACAAGUGUCCAGGUUCAGCCAGAUGAGCACCCACAAGGGGCACCCUUUACCAUAAGAUCUCAACAAGAUCAGACUGGUACAACAGCACCAGUGAGUGGCUUGACGUGCCCAAGAUCCAAUUUUCUUGUUGCACGUGAUGAUCCAGUAGAAAUGAAGCAGGUGAGGGCAGAGUACCAAGAUACUAUAGAAGCCCCAAGGAAGAAGGGGAAUACGAGGAAUAAUGCAAACAGAUAUAACAAGGGCCACUCAAAACCAAUCAUUGUGGGCCGGCCAAAAACAGAAACCACCAGACAUCGGAGUUCUUUAAAGCAAGAAUUUGGAGUGAAACCAGGUACUGAGAAGCUCCAGUUCACACCAAAUCUGACGUCAUAUAAGAAGUUGUAUCAAAGCUUGUUCGAUACGCAUGUUGUUGCUCCUCAUUACUUAAAACCCAUACAGCCUCCGUAUCCCAAAUGGUAUGACACGAAUGCACAAUGCGACUACCAUGCGGGAAUUACGGGGCAUUCUAUAGAAAAUUGCACGACCUUUAAAAAGCUAGUCGAAAGGUUUAUCAAUAUGGGCAUUGUCAAAUUUGAGGAUUCACUCAGUAUAGAAAACCCGCUACUCAAUCAUACGGAUAAUGAAGGGAAUGCGAUGAAUGAAGAAAUGUUGGGAAAUGUUCACAUCAGUGCUGAAUACGAAGAAACAACUGGAGAAGAGAUCUUAUUAGAUGUUCGCCCUUAUAAACUUGGGAGUGUUCUAAAGAAACCCCUGUAGUAUUUAGAGCUUGCUCAGAGUAAUAUUCAAAACACACUUGUUGCUCUUAGCCUAGAGGCAACAAGAAGUCUUUUGUGAAAUAGACUCAUGUCUGAACGUCAUUAUUUCAAUGGAAUGCAUCUUUGCAAUCUUUUGAACCAAUAUUCUUUCAUUUCUUGAAUGAUUAUUCUUUUAUUCUUUCAUCCAAAUCAUUCUUUCAUUCAUAAUCAUACUGUGCAGAUAAUUAUUAUUAAAUUCAUACAUUCUUUGUAUAUUCUCUUGUACCUACAAUAGGUCCCUGAAUAUCAACGACAUGAAUGACACUGCUACAGACUUAAAAUCUCCUUUUGAGCGAGACAUGUGUUUAGAGGGAUCUCACGACUUUGAAGAUGACACAGAUUAUAGCCUAUCUCCGGACUUGUUGAGGAUGGUAGAACAAGAGGAUAAACAGAUCCUACCUCUCAAGGAAUCGUUAGAAAUUGUGAGCUUGAUGAAGACUAGAAUUGACCUGACCACAGAGACGAAGCAAGACCUUAUUGAGUUACCUCUAGAGUUCAAAGAUGUCUUUGUAUGAUCAUACCAGGGUAUGCCUCGAUUCUUAUAAUAAAGCAUGCACAACAGCACGAUGUCAGAAAUUUACAGUGCGAACGAUGCAAUUCUUUGCCGGGGCAAUGCCUCUCUCGUUGAGUCAGCAUAGCUUUGCCCAUUUGAAUUUGAGUUUCCAUCCCUUCAAGAUGUUGUUGGAUUUUGUCCGGAUUAAAGAGGAAGAUCCAAAGUUUUCUAUCGUAGUUGCGUCCCAAAAGGGCUCUAUGAAAGAAAUCUGGUACCAAAGAAGAUUUUUCACAUACAAGAUGAAAGUGGAAGACUUUAGAAUAACAUUGAUUCUGGUCGAAAAACAUGACCAGGACUUGCCUAAUCUCAUGAGUUCAGACUCAAAAAAAAAUCAAAAAAUCAAAAAAAAAAUAAAAAAAAAUCAAAGUCAAAAUAGAAAAAAAAAAGAGAAAAAGAAAAAUGAGAGGUCAAGGCGAAAACCUGCAAAGGGCGCUUUGACCAAAGGUGGAUCUGAGUUGAAAACCCGAAAAAGGGCGACUCAAAUUUUGAGCAAAAUGGGGCAUGGACAGCACCAUUAUCGAAGACUUCUAAUGGGCGUUGCUUCAUUUUUGAGAGGCUACUUCAUGAAUCAAGGUCAUCCUAUACCGAUACAGAUUUUCAGAGAGGAUGGUAUUGGAAAAUGCAUUGAACUUAAAUGAUAGCACGAAAAAUUAGGUCUGAAAUCAAUUUAGAAGCAGACACCACGUUUUGUCACCAAAUUACCUAGAGGUGAACAAGGACUGGCAUCAAAAAUUACUAUUUUCCCUCAUCGUUUGUCGAACAUCUGUACUGGGGCAACACCUAUCUUUUUGGUUUACAGGAUUGAGGUAGUUUUACCUAUUAAAAUCCCCUCAUUGCUUGUUGGAGGGAUCAAAUCGCGAUGUGAUCAGUUGGCCCUAGGAAAAGGGGUUAAAAGCUAUUUAUUAGAGUCAGAUGUACCAUAAAUAAAUAAUAUGAGCCCAUAAUAAAUAGGCUCGUCUCAGAGAAUUCCACGAGAGGGCUGGAUGUUAAAAAAGAUUCUUCCUUAACGAAAGGAUUCUAGAAGGAAAUGAAUGCCAAGCCGGGGAUGUCAUUGUGUUAUAAAGAAGACCAUUUUCAGAGGAGCACUGAUCUUGAGUUAGAUUGAUAAUCCUAUAAACUCGGAUCUAGUCAAGAAACACUUCGUUUAAAGAAGAAGAAAAGACCAAGGUAAAAAUCCGCAAAGGGCACUUUGAAAAAAAAACUCUGUUGGGGAAAUGCCGUUCUCUUGGGCCUAUCGCAAUUUUGCCUAUUGAAGACGAGAUUCUUUCUGAGUUUUUGGACCCAAUCCCGAUUGAGGAGGAAUGUUCAAAGUUAUCCAUCAUGGUCAAAUGCGCCAAAAGCAAAUGAUGUGAGCUCAAAAAAAAAGAGGGAGAAGAAGAAGAGAAUUCCAUGAGAGGACCUAGUAUCGAAGAAGAUCCUUCCCACACAAAAAGAACUUCAUGCCAAGAUGGGAAGAACCUUAUGUGGAAGGCCUUAUCUGGAAAAGCGUCAAUCUUGAUCGGAAAGGAUAACGAGGACAUGUCUAAUCCAAUGAGUUCAAAAAAAAAGAGAAAAAAAAGGAGAGGCCAGGGUGAAAACCCGCAAAGGGCACCUUGAGACCAAAGGAGAUUUGAGUUGAAAACCCGAAAAUGGCGGCUCAAACUUUUGAUCAUAAUGGGACAUUAAGUGAUCAGAGCGACUCAAAUUUUGGAUCAAAUUGGGGGAUGAGGCGAUCAAAGCAGCUCAAAUUUUGAUCAGAUCGGGGCAUAUGGUGAUCUUGCUAUACCUGAAUCAAUAGGAAAGGGUAGGCGACAUCUUGGGGCAUCGACAAAGUCCUGUUGAUCUCCUAAACACAUGUCUUCAAAAAGUUUGUACAGAGAAAUUCAAGCUGCGAUAUCUGGGGCACCCAACCUUCAUAUUGUUUAUAUAUUAAAUUUGUUGUUCUUGGAAUACUUUUUCUUUUCUAAGAUAUACAUUCCCAAUCAAAUUUUUUAUUAUUCUUUACUAUUUUUGAUAAUUUAUUCAUUUUGAGCUAUGCUCAGAACCAUCUUUAUUCUUAUCCAUUAUUAUAACCCUUUUUGCAAGCAUGUUGCAUUGGAAUAAUGAUUAAUGGACAAAUAUUACUUUCACAAGGGAAGUUUGCAUAUUACUCUAGAAGUUUCUAAAUAAUAUAGGAACCUGAAACAGGACUAUUGUUUAGAAAACACCAAGUGCUCACCUGCUCACCUGCUCACCUACAACACGCAACAUUAAGAAGCAAAAAUAGAGUAAAAGUAAAAAGAAAAAAGCUUGUAAAAGGCUAUAUAAAAGCCAUUAAAAAACUGAAAAUAUGGGGGGCUUCCUUUUCUUUUGUAAUAUUUUCACAAAAAUACAACGAAUUAAUAAGAAAAUCAAAAAAGCAAAAAAAAAGGUUGAUCUCAGUCAUUUUCUUUUCGGUUCUUGCGUUUCUUUUUUGUUUAUUUUCUUCCUUUUUUUUGUUUAUUUUCUAUAACUUUUUAAACAAAACGAAAAAGAAAAGAAAAGGGAUACUUACCUGUCCCGAAAGCCCGUCGUCGGAGACCAUUUUCGGCGUUGGAAUCGGACUGAAAGGGGUACGAAAGACCCCUCCUUUUUCAUAUCUUUCGGGCUAGGAAGGCCUGGUUUUCGUGUGUGUUGUGAAUCGGGGCUGAAAGGCUUCUUUUGUGCAACGUCGGCCACCGUCCACGGUGGCGCUACGGCGGUGGCGCUAAAGCCGACAGCCAUGGUCGGUCAGAGGCCAGAGAGAGAGAGCUUUGCUCUCUGUUUUUUCUAAAGAAAGGUGAAACUGAAAUUUUUUGAGGUUUUUUUUAUAUAUUUAUA
rnacentral:lncRNA from 1 species